GAAAAAUUUUUCGAAAAGCUCGCGCUUUCACCCGCGUUGUAAUUUGCAGAGGAUGCUUCGGGCGCGGCGCCGGUCUAAGUUCUUUGGAACAAGACGUCAUGGAGGGUGAGAAUCCCGUAUGUGACUGGUAGCCUGUGUUCAUGUGAAGCUCCUUCGACGAGUCGAGUUGUUUGGGAAUGCAGCUCUAAAUGGGUGGUGAACUUCAUCUAAAGCUAAAUACUGGCCAAAGACCGAUAGCGCACAAGUAGAGUGAUCGAAAGAUGAAAAGCACUUUGGAAAGAGAGUUAAACAGUACGUGAAAUUGUUGAAAGGGAAGCGCUUGCAAUCAGACUUGCGCGGCGUCGAUCAGCCUGGGUUCUCCCUGGUGCACUCGGCGCCGCUCAGGCCAGCAUCAGUUUUGGCGGCUGGAUAAAGGCUCAGGGAACGUGGGUGGCUUCGGCCAUCGUUAUAGCCCUGGGUGCAAUGCAGCCUGCUGGGACUGAGGACCGCGCUUCGGCUAGGAUGCUGGCGUAAUGGUUGUAAGCGACCCGUCUUGAAACACGGACCAAGGAGUCUAACAUCUAUGCGAGUAUUUGGGUGUUAAACCCAUAUGCGUAAUGAAAGUGAACGGAGGUGAGAACCCUUAAGGGUGCAUCAUCGACCGAUCCUGAUGUCUUCGGAUGGAUUUGAGUAUGAGCAUAGCUGUUGGGACCCGAAAGAUGGUGAACUAUGCCUGAAUAGGGUGAAGCCAGAGGAAACUCUGGUGGAGGCUCGCAGCGGUUCUGACGUGCAAAUCGAUCGUCAAAUUUGGGUAUAGGGGCGAAAGACUAAUCGAACCAUUGAAACCUAGCUCCUAGGUGGUUGAGAGGCCCCCCCGCGGGGGGGCCUAGUCGCUGCGGCGGCUACACUGCAAAACUGCGGGGACGGCUCGACAGCUCCAGGCUACCACAGCGCGCUCGAAAGGGCGCGCCACGGUCACAAGGCCUGCGCGGCUGAGCUCAUCCGCAACCAGCGCCUACCGCUGCCCCUACCCGGGGGUGGCCACGGCGCGGGCUCAUCGACUAGAUGGCAGUGGGUGUCAGAAGCUUAAGGGAUAGUCAGGCUGCGGCAGCGAUGCCGCCAGAGCCUGGCCCUUGCCGU
rnacentral:rRNA from 1 species